CCUACGGGUGGCAGCAGUAGGGAAUAUUGGGCAAUGGGGGAAAGCCUGAAGCAGCAACGCCGCGUGGAGGAUGAAGGUUUUCGGAUUGUAAACCCCUGUUGUUAGAGAAGAUAAUGACGGUAUCUAACGAAUAAGCACCGGCUAACUCCGUGCCAGCAGGCGCGGUAAUACGGAGGGGGCAAGCGUUACUCGGAAUCACUUGGCGUAAAGAGCGCGUAGGCGGGUUAGCAAGUCAGAUGUGUAAUGCUAUGGCUUAACCAUAGAACUGCAUUUGAAACUGUUAGUCUAGAGUAUGGGAGAGGUAGGUGGAAUUCUUGGUGUAGCGGUGAAAUCCGUAGAGAUCUAGAGGAAUACUGAUUGCGAAGGCGGCCUGCUAGAACAUAACUGACGCUGAUGCGCGAAAGCGUGGGGAGCAAACAGGAUUAGAUACCCGGGUAGUC
rnacentral:rRNA from 1 species